AGUGAACGCUGGCGGUAGGCCUAACACAUGCAAGUCGAACGGCAGCACAGUAAGAGCUUGCUCUUACGGGUGGCGAGUGGCGGACGGGUGAGGAAUACAUCGGAAUCUGCUUUUUCGUGGGGGAUAACGUAGGGAAACUUACGCUAAUACCGCAUACGACCUACGGGUGAAAGCAGGGGAUCUUCGGACCUUGCGCGAUUGAAUGAGCCGAUGUCGGAUUAGCUAGUUGGCGGGGUAAAGGCCCACCAGGGCGACGAUCCGUAGCUGGUCUGAGAGGAUGAUCAGCCACACUGGAACUGAGACACGGUCCAGACUCCUACGGGAGGCAGCAGUGGGGAAUAUUGGACAAAGGGCGCAAGCCUGAUCCAGCCAUACCGCGUAGGUGAAGAAGGCCUUCGGGUUGUAAAGCCCUUUUGUUGGGAAAGAAAAGCAGCAGGUUAAUACCCCGCUGUUCUGACGGUACCCAAAGAAUAAGCACCGGCUAACUUCGUG
rnacentral:rRNA from 1 species